UGUGUAGGCGGUGUUCCAAGUCUGGUGUGAAAUCUCCCGGCUUAACUGGGAGGGUGCGCUAGAAACUGGAAUGCUAGAGGAUGGGAGAGGUAAGCGGAAUUCCUGGUGUAGCGGUGAAAUGCGUAGAUAUCAGGAGGAACACCUGUGGUGUAGACAGCUUACUGGACCAUUUCUGACGCUGAGACACGAAAGCUGGGUAGCAAACA
rnacentral:rRNA from 1 species